rnacentral:rRNA from 1 species
UACAGAGGUCUCAACCGUUGUUCGGAUUUAUUGGGCGUAAAGGGUGCGUAGGCGGUCGCGUAAGUCGGGUGUGAAAUCCCAGGGCUCAACCCUGGAACUGCAUUCGAUACUGCGUGGCUUGGGUACUGGAGAGGAGACUGGAAUUUACGGUGUAGCAGUGAAAUGCGUAGAUAUCGUAAGGAAGACCAGUGGCGAAGGCGAGUCUCUGGACAGUUACCGACGCUGAGGCACGAAGGCCAGGGGAGCAAACGGG